rnacentral:rRNA from 1 species
UACGUAGGGCGCAAGCGUUAUCCGGAAUUAUUGGGCGUAAAGAGCUCGUAGGCGGUUUGUCGCGUCUGCCGUGAAAGUCCGGGGCUCAACUCCGGAUCUGCGGUGGGUACGGGCAGACUAGAGUGAUGUAGGGGAGACUGGAAUUCCUGGUGUAGCGGUGAAAUGCGCAGAUAUCAGGAGGAACACCGGUGGCGAAGGCGGUUCUCUGGGCAUUACCUGACACUGAGGAGCGAAAGUGUGGGGAGCGAACAGG